rnacentral:rRNA from 1 species
GACGAACGCUGGCGGCGUGCUUAACACAUGCAAGUCGAACGGAAAGGCCCUGCUUUUGUGGGGUGCUCGAGUGGCGAACGGGUGAGUAACACGUGAGUAACCUGCCCUUGACUUUGGGAUAACUUCAGGAAACUGGGGCUAAUACCGGAUAGGAGCUCCUGCUGCAUGGUGGGGGUUGGAAAGUUUCGGCGGUUGGGGAUGGACUCGCGGCUUAUCAGCUUGUUGGUGGGGUAGUGGCUUACCAAGGCUUUGACGGGUAGCCGGCCUGAGAGGGUGAACGGCCACAUUGGGACUGAGAUACGGCCCAGACUCCUACGGGAGGCAGCAGUGGGGAAUAUUGCACAAUGGGCGGAAGCGUGAUGCAGCAACGCCGCGUGCGGGAUGACGGCCUUCGGGGUGUAAACCGCUUUCGCCUGUGACGAAGCGUGAGUGACGGUAAUGGGUAAAGAAGCACCGGCUAACUACGUG